GAUAGCUCAGUGGGAUAGAGCAUGGUGCUGAUAAUGCCAAGGUCACAGGUUCAGUCCCCGUGUGGGACA